rnacentral:lncRNA from 1 species
AAAAAUAAAAAAAAAGGUGGGACCACAUGGUGGAUGUAGUGAUGUUAAUGGGUAUGGAUAUUUCAAAUAUUAUCCGAAUUUGAAUCCGAUCAGAGUAAGUUUGCCUGAGCUAAACAAAUAUGGAUUCGGUUAUGGGUAUAGAAAAUAAAAACCUGACGGAUAUGAAUACGACUAUUUUGUAUUUACCCGACUUGAACUCGAACCCGAAAUUAUAUAACAUUUUGAUAUCUAGAGAUUGUAUUAGAUAUUUAAAGAAUGUAUUGUUGUCUUUAACUAUUUGAAUUUGCACUUUUCUUAUCCAGAUAUUAAUAUUGUAUGGCAUGAAUGUUUUAAUAUUAUAUUUGAUUGUGUUUUGAAAAUUUUAUUUUGAAAAUUUUAAUUUUACUAUAAUAUAUUUUGAAAUAUGAUAAAGAGAAAUCAUUAUUUCGGGUUCGGAUUCGGAUUCGGGUUUCGGAUUUUUGGUUGGAUUCGAAUAUGGGUAUGGAUUUUUAAAACCUACCGGGUUUGGAUCCUAGUUCGAAUUUUAAUUUGGUUUUCGGAUUCGGAUUCGGACUCGGAUUCGGAUUCGGAUUCGGAUUUUUGAAAAUCCGACCCAGUGGCAUUCCUAUCUG